GGCUUCAUAUAUUUUCUUUAAUAAUGUGUGUUAGGAUUUCGGUUAGCCCGGUGUGUUAGACUGUGAGCGAAACGGAGCGGUUUUUUUUUUUUUUUUUACAACGAUUUACUCCGAUCGAACGUUUUAUAGGGACUUUUUUGGUGCAUCGUCGAUCCGGCGCAUUGAGGGGGGUAUAGGUUUUGACGGUUCUCCGCUUUCAUGACAAAGGGCUAAGACCGGCAUAUUUUCAGGGCGAUACUAUCCGCUCGGAAUCGUUUUCCGUCUAUCGAUCGAAAUCACUCUUCACGGUCUCCUUGCCGUCGUGCGUACGGCCGAAUUGCGACGGAGGCGGCGU